rnacentral:rRNA from 1 species
CAGUAGGGAAGUCUUCCACAAUGGGCGGCAAGCCUGAUGGAGCAACACCGCGUGAGUGAAGAAGGGUUUCGGCUCGUAAAGCUCUGUUGUUAAAGAAGAACACGUAUGAGAGUAACUGUUCACCCCUUGACGGUAUCUAACCAGAAAGCCACGGCUAACUACGUGCCAG